CAUCCCGGGCAAUUUGGAAAACACGUAAAACAGUUUGGACCUUAACACAGCUUAGAAUCCCAACAAAAGCAAAGCAAACGGUUAAAAAGGUUCAGAUAAAGGAAAAAAAAAUAAAUUUUAUUUUUUGUUGUUGUGUUUUGGAAUUUCUAUUUUUGGUUAAAUGCGAAUGGCUACCGGUGUUUUGCAGUGCGUGAAAUAAACAAACGUUUAAAGUUUGGUAUAAUUUUAAUUUUGAAACCUACAACAACAUUACAUUUGAAAAUUCCCUCCUUCAGCCGAGGAAAACACACACCCAGUUUGAAAAAAAAAACACUCCGAGAUUAACACGGCCCCACUAGAAAACUCAACCAAACCAAACCAAAAAGUAGAAUAGGAAGAAAAAAACGCACAUUUCAUUCAACGAACAUUAAGCAAUCCGAACGAACUCUUUCAUUAUGGCCACUUUUUGUACAUAACAAUACCACCACUACCACCACCACCAGCAACAACAACAACAACUACAAUAUUAAUCACAUGAAAACCUAGUGAAAAAUAAAUAAAUAAUAGGACCUCCCCGCCACCCAACUCCCCAGUUCAUCCUCCAAGUAAAAGAUUUGCAAUUCUUGAUUUUAGUGUUCGUAGUUCGUAGUUACAUAAGAAAUGACAGCGUAUUAGUAGUGUUUUAAACGGAAACAUAAGAAACGAAUAAAUACAACAACAACAACAACAACAAAAACAGAAGCAGCAGCAGCAGCAAUAAAAACAUCAUAACUGAGCGGAGAGCUGAGAGAACAAGUCAAUGUGAGAGUGACAAAAAGACAAGAGGAUAAUUCACCAUCAACCUGACGUUCAACCAAAAAAUAAAAAAGAAAAUAAAAACUCAGUUCGAUUGGCAUUCUUUGUUUUAAACACAACAAGAAUAAAUAACCAACAUCCUCAACCAAAAAACGAAAAGGCGAAAGGAAAUCCUUUUAAACAAAUAAAGUUUCGAAUAUUGAUGAAUUGCCUUGGCUCAGUUUUCAAUACAGCAACAACAAAAAUAAUAUAUACACACACAAACAAUCCAACAAAUCAGCAACCAAGCCCAAAGCCUGCAAGCGGAUCAGACAAAGGAAAAAACAUGAAAUGGUGCCGAGUGUGUGUCGUUGUUGAGCUCAAGUGUUUGUGCUGGCAAUGAAUUAGAAACCACAACAAACACACACACACACCAACGUACAUAACUAGAAAGAAGGGGAAGAGAGAGGGAGAGAGUAAGAAAGAGAGACACCCAGAUUGGCAGUGGAUGUGGCAGAAGUAGCAGUAACAGCAGGAACAUUGAAACAUCCUAUCGAAGUCAGGACUAACCGCAUCGCAUCAACACCACCAAUCGACGUUUAAUCAAAGCAAUACCGACAACCGAAAUAAAAUUUCAAAUUUCCUUUCCCUGCGGUCCUCAAUCAUCAUCAGCCUACACAUUUAAGUAUUUGCCAAUCAAAUUCGAUUUAUAUUAAAAGAAAACAUUCUGGGACCUCCAGCGAAAGAAACUCACAAAGCAAUAUAAUUUUUUAAUUAAGUGAAACCCCCCC
rnacentral:sRNA from 1 species